rnacentral:rRNA from 1 species
CAAUAGCGUAUAUUAAAGUUGUUGCAGUUAAAAAGCUCGUAGUUGGAUUUCUGGUCGGAAGCUCCUGCCCUCUGAUGAGCGUACAAGUGCGUCCUACCAUCCUUCUGUUAACCUUUAAGGCUUUCGCGGCUUUCUAGGGGCUCAGAUAUUUUACCUUGAGAAAAUUAGAGUGUUUCAGGCAGGCUAGCGCCGGAAUACAUUAGCAUGGAAUAAUGGAAUAGGACUUUUGCCUCUUCUGUUGGUCAUGAGGCUCGAGUAAUGAUUAAUAGGGAUAGUUGGGGGCAUUAGUACUUAACUGUCAGAGGUGAAAUUCUCGGAUUUGUUAAAGACUAACUUAUGCGAAAGCAUUUGCCAAGGAUGUUUUCAUUAA